UGGUGUCUAUGGCUCAGUGGAACCACUCCGAUCCAUCUCGAACUCGGAAGUGAAACGCUGACACGGCGAAGAUACNUUUUGCUUCGGCUUCGAUUUGUAGGAGAGAAUUUUGGGGAUAACGAUCA
rnacentral:rRNA from 1 species